UUUCCUCUGAAGCACCUGAAGCUGUGGGAACUAAGUGGAAACCUCACACACAGCAGGAUUUCUCGAUGCUCUCAGAGCUUUGCCAAGGUUAAAGUGCUCAGAAAUACCCUGAUGAGUGAAUAAACUCAUAAGUUACCAGCAAAGUUUAAAUACCUUCCUGCCAAAUCUGGAAAGAUGAGAGUUCCUCCUCUGGAGGAAGAGAGAUGACCACGUGUUGGGUGCCUUGCAGAAGACAUAAUAUCCAAGGAUUCGACCUCUAACAGACCAUGUCUGCUCUACUGGGCCUCAUGCUUAAGGAUUGAGAAGCUCUGAUAAAACCUGAAACUUAUAUCUUUGGGAAAGGUCAGUCUUGGAUCUCUGUGUCACCGGAAGGAAAAUUCAGGCUGCAGCAGUAAAUAUCAGCCUGGAGACGUUUUCCUAAGGGGAGGGACAUGGGGAGUGAAAAACAAAACUUUCUGCAGAAACCUCUUGCAGCCUUUCCCCAUGUAAAGCCAAAUGAUGAUAACUCUCAUUCCUUCAUGCACUUCUGUGUCUCCAAGCUAGAAAAACAAGUACCACAGAAACUGAUGAAGGAAAUCAUAUAAUGAAGGAAGUGAAAGAGUCAUGAUGGAAAAAAAAAUAAGAAGCCAGCCUGGAGAGCAGAAUGAACAGGAAAAUGUAUGAGAGAAGUAAAUGAGAUGACAAGAAUAAACAGCAAAAUCUGACGGGAUAUCAGAAAUAGGCCAAGCACAGAAAGGUACUUCUGGAAUUUCACAGUUGACCCUGUCUGUGUGAGGGGAAGAAGAUGCUCGUUAUGCCAAUGUAUGAGACUCGCUUAUUUCAUCUGCAGAGAAGAAGGAGCACAGGAGCAUGAUAUGUGGUGGAGGGGAAGAAAAUCUUUCUCCCAGCUUAGCCGAGGGCUUUAGUCUUGUUCAAGUUCACAAUAGUCUCUGGAUGUCCUGUGAAGAUAUCUGAAAAUGUCAUCUCAGGACUAGCUUUCAGCAGCCAAUCCUGUUGUGAAUGAAUAGGCAAAAUGAGAGAAGAAUAAAGGAAGUAAGCUCUGAAUUCCUCAAGAUUUUAUUCAUGUGAGAACACUCAAGAAUUCUAUGAGAGAAAUACUCAAUGUUCCUUCUACCUAGAGGAGAUGGAGUUCAUCAUUUCUAUGAUGUUUCAUUUGUCCUGUCCCUCAGCUGCAGCUCAGCUCUUGUUUAGAGGCCCUGGAAAGAGUAGUUUGUGUGUUGGAAGGGAGGACCAAGUUUGCAAAAGACCUUUCCAGUUCAGGCCUCACUCUAUCAGUACGGAGCAGCCAUUAUGGAGAUCUGUGUCCUUGGUGCCUUGCUGUGGUGUUCAUAGCAAACCAGUGACCAAGAGGAAUUUAUCUGUCCCUGGGGCAGGGAGCAAGUAUGGAGAGCAUCCUUAGAAGAAACGUGAAAUGAUGAGGCCUCUGGCACCUCUGGCACUGUGAUUGUUUAGUAAACAUAGCUCUCCUCUGUGAAGUCACCUUGAGAUCUCCUGGAGACUGCCAUUCAGAAAUGGGAGAAAGGAGACGGAUGGAGCAACAUCCCUCCACCUUCCAGUGUUUCUCAGCCCCUUGUCUCUUGGGAUGUUGGGAUGUCGAGGCAUUAAAAGUGAGUCCCUCAGCCCCUGGGCUUUUUGUGAAGGAAGUGACAGGCAUGUUUUUUCAAUGCAUGCCAAACAGGUGGGUCAUCCACCUCCCCAGCCUUGAGCACAGCUCCGAGUGACUCCACACUUACAAUAAGAUUUCUGCACCCAUGCUCACACUGUGCCACUUUGCACUGCUCAUGAGGCACAACGAAGAGGAUACGCUACCUCCAUUUCAUCUGGCUGCUUCUGCUUUUUCCAGUCCCUCAACUUUUCUCUCCCUGUGCCAUCAUUUCUCUCUCCCACAUCCACAGACAAGCAGAGCAGAAGCCUCCUCCCGCUCCUCCAGUAGAGGCAGGGGGAGGGAAAUGAGGAGGUGAAGCAGCAUGCUGGAAUGUGAGAUGUGUGAUGAGAUUUCAGCAAGCUACACUGUCCUGUGGAGAACAGGCAAUUACCCCAAUCCAACUUGUUUCUUCACUGGUUCCAUUCCCAAAGCCCUGUGCCUCGGUUUCCUGGCAAGUGAAAGCAUUAGCUGUUACCACCCCCAUGUGCUCUGCUGAGAGUAGGGCAGGGAGGUGGACCUGUUUGUGGGAGGUGAUUGAUUACUAAUGUCUUAUUGCUGUUGUUGUCAUAUAUACUGAGCAGAUGUUGUGUUAUUUUCAAUCUUUCCACUAAGCUGACAAUUUAGGUCACACCAAGUUAGACCAUGGCUAGAUCAUUUUGCCACAGAACUACCCAAUAUAAGCAGAUUGCCUUGCAAUUUGCUUGCAGUUGGAACUCCACUCACUCAGGUUACUGCCAGAGUAUCUAACCAGAAUCUCAGAUGGAUUUUGCAGCUUCUUAGCUUCACAUUGCCUAAACUCCGUCAUUAUAAGUAACCAAGCCACAAAGUUAAGUGCUGACUUGCUGAUGUAAAACUAGGAUUGCUGUGAUAAGGUAAG